GCUCCUCCCUUCCCGCCCCCACCUCCCCAGGGGCCGGGGCGGGGCGAGGACCUCCGGCCGCGGCGUCCGGUCACUGCGCCCCCAUCCUCGCGGCUGGGCUCCCGGAGGGCAGAGAAAAGGAUGGGGAUCCGGGUUUCAACCCCAGGUCUGCACUCAGGCGCUGGGGCUUCGGCCAAGUUGCUUCGCCUCGCCUAGCCGCCGUUUCCACGUGUAGGACCACAGACCCUCACACCUCCAGGAUCUUGACCUCCCAGGGGGUGAAUUGUUUGAGGACGAUCAAAGCCACUGAAGUUUUCUAUUGCCAUGGACCCAGUUGUUUAGGUUUCCAUACAAAGAAGCAAAGAUGAAUGAGUGAAAGAUGCUCUCUCAACCUCAUCCUUGGUGAAGAGUGUUCUGUGAUUGCUGUCACUGAGGUCUGCGGUGCACAGGCGUGGCCCUGGAGCCACAGGAAAACAAUCUCCACCCCUGGUUGAUACUGGCCUCUGCAGCAAGGACUCCCACAACUGUCUGUGCACAGAUGUCUUGGGAUCUGAGCCCCACAACAUCCCGCACAGCAGACUGAACACUCUUCGAGGAUUUACACAGAAAAGAACAUGGGUUUUGGAACAAGACAAAACUAGGAGGCAACCUCACCAAUUCCUUAACCCUGGGCAACUUUCUUUGUCUCUCUCUGGGCCUCAGUUUCCCCACCUGUAAAAUGAGGAGAGCAGCUCCUCCCCACAGGCUGUUGUGAGGAUUAAACGAGAAAGUGCGUGAGGCGCCUGCAUAGUAAUCUUCACUAAAUUUGGGUGGAAUGAACGACCUUCUUGCCCGGGAAGCUUCCCGGGGUCUGGGUGGGCCCCGGAGUCUGGAAGGCCAUGGGGCCAUUCCCAGACGAUGAGUCAGCCCCUCGCAGAACCUGGCUGUGCCUGAGGCUAAGGCCUCUCUCUGCACCCUUCACCCUCAUCCAGCAGAUCCUUCUGAGUGCCUGCUGCAUGCCUCUGCCUGCUCAGCCCCUCGCCCCACUCAGCACUGUGCAGUCCACGGGAAGGGAGGGCCAGCCUGGUCAGGGCGGAUGGCUGAGAGGGUGAGUGACUCCAUGAGCCAGUUUCCUGGUCUGCUGCAACAGAACACCACAGACUGGGUGCCAGGAGCAGCAGAAACCCAUUCUCCCAGGCCUGGAGGCCAGAAGUCCAAGACCAAGGUGCCAGCAGGAACGGUUCCCUCUGAGCCUCACAGGGAGAAUCUGUCCUAGGCCUCUCCAACUUCUGGUGACAGCCAGCAAUCCCUGGCAUUCCUUGGCUUGUAGACGCAUCACUGUAACCUCUGCCUCUGUCCUUACAUGGCGUUCCCCUGUAUCUGUCCUCAUGUGGUGUUUUCCUCUUAUAAGGACCAUAUUGGCUUAGAGCCCAUCCUAAGCUCAUCCUGACCUGACUAAUUACAUCUGCAACAACCCUAUUUCCAGAGAAGCUCACAUUCUGAGCUCCCAGGAAUGACAUAGAUUCUGGGGACAGAGACAACAUGGCAGAGGGUAUUAAGCUCUGAAAUUGUGGCCUGGAGUCCUAUUAAAGGGCCUGCCUACCUCAUAGGCUGUUGCAGGGCUUCAGUGAGGAGGGUACCUGGAACGGAGCCUGGUUCACAGCAAGUUCUCGGUUAGGAUUGGCUUCAGUCGUUCCAAUGUGGUGAAGAAGAGAGAAAUCCUAAAAAGCCCCUCUCAGUCAGAGAAUGAUGGACCACCUGCUCCUCUGCCUCUGGGGUAUUUACGUAAAUUCCAUAAGUUACACGGCACACUUGCAUUCAGUGGAUUUCUCAGAUCUCAAGGUUUCCCUGUGCCCGGAUGACAAAGUCAGGCAGCAGAAGGCAUGUCCGAGAGAGCCGUCCAGCUGAGAAAUGCUCUUCCCAGCCAUGGGCCCUGGGCACAGACUGAGCAUCCCCCAGUCCCCCCGCUGACGCUCGUGUCUGGAGCCCUGGGGCCUUCAUGGUGACUGCAGGAAGCCUGAAGCCCAAAUCCAGGAGACAGGGUGUCAUGUCUCACUCCUGCACAUGGCCCUUGUGUCAGUCGGGUCCCAGCAGGACUCAGGUGCACAUGCGUAGGGUUGAGCAGAGGAGAGGUUAACUGAGCAGCACUCAGAGGUGAGUGAGCUCAGGAAACCUGAAAGGACCAGGGGAGCGAGGACUCCCCUCUGCGCAUCCGCACCCAUCCAAGGCCUUGGAAGGCAAGGGAGGGACAAGUCCUGUAACUCCAGGCAACUGGAGCACACUGGGGGGUCUUGGAGACUCUCCAUUCGGAAGUCAGUCCCCUGGACGGUGGCAGCGAGGGGCAGAGGCGGAUCUGGAGAAGAACGGUGAGCACUGCGUUCACUCAGUGUUGACUACACCAGUGAGCAGGGCCCCCACCCUGAGAAACCCGUAGUCUGGGGAAAACAGGCUUGUAAAGAAGCCACCUGGAUAGCAGGUGAUCAUAAUCGAUGGGUCCACAGCCACCAGGGAACAGCAGAUAACUCAAAACCACGGUGAAUUACUUCUCUCUAGAAACAUCCUGAGUCCCCCCCACUGCAGGGAAUUUCUCCCUGCCCCUCCAUCCUGGAGCCGUCUGCCCUCUUUGGGCACCUGAAGCCACUGUCUCCCCAACCGGUCAGGCGAAAACAGACACUGUUGGUUUAUUGGUCACGGGGAUGUAUUGAGGGGCUAGCUAUUCCAUGCUGAGCUGAAGGCUAAUUGGGCGAGAUGCGUCUCUGCCUUGUGGACACCAAUGGAAAGAGUAAGUGUGUGUGCAUGUGUGUGUACUCUGCAUACACACAACGCAAAAUACACCUCAGCUAAAGGGAAUUCCUGGGGAGAAUUCCCAAGCGAGGGGAGACCACAGGCCCCGGCUAAAUAAAGGACGGCAUCCUCGCCAGAAUGGGACAGCUGGGGAGGCUUUCACAGUAAGACGGGGGUGGGGGGGGUGCCCCAGUAGGAGUAGGCCUCUGACAAACACUUGUCGAGUUGAGUGUAUACCAAAGGCGCCUCCCAGGGGGAGAGCAAAGCUUCUCGCUGAGGAAUCCUGUAAGCAGAUAUUUUUAUUCUUACUAAUUUUGUGUUUUCUGGAUUUAAUAAACACUUAUUCAGACUCCAUCCAAGAUAUCUGAUAUCAUCCCUCAACACAUACAUAACAAGUCACUGAGGCUGGCACUCCUGAGCUUUCCUGGCCUCCUGGGACUACGUCGUGGGGGUGGUUGUCUAGACGACGUGGGACCUCUUCCCGGGAGGAGGGCUUCUGCCUUCGUGCGGAAGGUGGACAGCGUAGGCAAACCGAGGCCAUGAAGAACAUGGAAAAGUCCCCUUCUCCUCAAGAGCGCAUUAUUGCCGUAAAAUGCAGAAGUCUCCACAAACAGCGUGGAAGGACUGCCAGGGCCCCCUCGAGCUCU